UACGUAGGGGACAAGCGUUGUCCGGAUUUAUUGGGCGUAAAGAGCGUGUAGGCGGCCAAGCAGGUCAGCUGUGAAAACUCGAGGCUCAACCUCGAGACGUCGGUUGAAACCGCUUGGCUAGAGUCCGGAAGAGGAGAGUGGAAUUCCCGGUGUAGCGGUGAAAUGCGCAGAUAUCGGGAAGAACACCCGUGGCGAAGGCGGCUCUCUGGGACGGUACUGACGCUGAGACGCGAAAGCGUGGGGAGCGAACAGG
rnacentral:rRNA from 1 species